AACCUGCCCACUGAAUAUUUUUAAAUGGCCGCAGUAUACUAACUGUGCAAAGGUAGCAUAAUCAUUAGUCUUUUAAUUGAAGGCUGGUAUGAAUGGUUGGACGAAAUAUUAACUGUUUCAUAAAAAUUUAAAAUAAAAUUUUAUUUUUUAGUAAAAAAGCUAAAAUAAAUUUAAAAGACGAGAAGACCCUAUGAAUCUUUAUAUUUAAUUUAUUAUUAUUUUAUAGAUUUGUUUUGUUAUAAUAAAUUGUAAUAUUUUAUUGGGGUGAUAUUAAAAUUUAAAAAACUUUUAAUUUUAAAAAUCAUUAAUUUAUGAUUAAUUGAUCCGUUAUUAACGAUUAAAAAUUUAAGUUACUCUAGGGAUAACAGCGUAAUUUUUUUGGAGAGUUCUUAUCGAUAAAAAAGUUUGCGACCUCGAUGUUGGAUUAAGAUAUAAUUUUAGGUGUAGAAGCUUAAAUUUUAAGUCUGUUCGACUUUUAAAUUCUUACAUGAUCUGAGUUCAAACCGGCGUAAGCCAGGUUGGUUUCUAUCUUUAAAAA
rnacentral:rRNA from 1 species